GUCCAGGGUAGCCUAGUGGACAUGGCAUCUGCCCGGUAAGCGGAACAUUGUGGGUUCGAUUCCCAUCCCUGACA